rnacentral:misc_RNA from 1 species
GAGAGGCUUCAAGCAUUCUGGACUCUUGCUGCGAAGGCACUCAUAAGUCUGGAUAUUGGAAAAUAUCGUCCGCACUCAUCUGAUGAAGGCUCUCUUGCACACCAUGGCCGUACGGAACCACAUGAGAAUUAACUCCUUGGAAACUCUCGAACUGUGCAGGACCACCAUGAUAAUGAUCAAGAUACACACCCAAGUGCUCAUUCUUAACCAAGUGCUCACUCUUGAUGCUCCUUCUCAACUCAUCUAGCGAUGAGUAGGCAGACAUUUCAGGUACUGGUGCUACAGUUGAUUGGCCAGUGCAAUUUAUGGAGCUUUUUGAAGAGUCAAUCUUGUCAGAGGGUUUCGGCAAAAACCCUUGAAUGAUCUCUUGUAACAAGCCAGAAUCAGAAGGUUCUUGUGGAAAGAAUUCCAUGUAAUCAGCUUGAGAAUUGGUCCUAUCAGAGCCCCCAGAAAAGUUGUAACUCCGAUUAUGCUCAUUGAGUGGUAGAGAACUCAUAGAAGAGCCUGUAAAAGUGUCAGAGACAUUUGAACCACUGGAGGGAUUCACCAAAGAACCACUAGAGAAAGUGCUAAACGCAGAAGUAGAUGAACCAUUAAUGUUCAGAAACUGAUCAUUUA